rnacentral:tRNA from 4 species
UCCUCGAUAGCUCAGUUGGUAGAGCACGCGGCUGUUAACCGCGCUGUCGUAGGUUCGAGUCCUACUCGGGGAGCUA